rnacentral:tRNA from 1 species
GGCCUUGGUUCAGUGGCAGAGUAUCUGCUUUGCGUACAGAAUGUCUCAGGUUCAAUCCCCAGCAUCUCCA